rnacentral:rRNA from 1 species
ACACGUAAAGAACCUGCCUCAUAGACUGGGACAACUAUUGGAAACGAUAGCUAAUACCGGAUAACAGCAUUAACUGCAUGGUUGAUGUUUAAAAGUUGGUUUUGCUAACACUAUGAGAUGGCUUUACGGUGCAUUAGCUAGUUGGUGGGGUAAAGGCCUACCAAGGCGACGAUGCAUAGCCGACCUGAGAGGGUGAUCGGCCACACUGGGACUGAGACACGGCCCAG